UACCUUUGAUGUAUAUGUGCAUCUGCACAAAAAGCUCUUGCUUUCCAAUGGAGUUUAUAAGAAUUGAAAAAAGUGAGAGAUUGACAUUAGAUGGUAGCAGAGUUGCUUCAGCCAAAAGAAUUGCAGCUGACAUAGUACCAAGUAUGAUAGCCAAGAACUUCUCAAAUUGCUUUCUUAGGAUGCAUCUCCAAACAUAUUCCAUUGUAUCAAAGAAAGCCCCCAAUUUACCAGUUUGAGCAGGUCUGAAGCUCGAGAUAUAUUUCCAUCCAGUUGAACUGCCAUGUUCAUAAUUUUUUAUCGUAUCUUCCAGUUCAAGGGCUUCCAAGACGUAGGUCAUGUACUCACUUUUAUAACGAUAGUACCCCUCACGAGCUCCCCUGAGAUGACGUCUAAGUGUUGCCAUUGAUUUCUCAUCCGUAUCAUAGUCCAUAUCAUUUUCUCCCAAUCGACCACCUUGCGGUUUAAAAGCUGGGUCUUCCCUGAACAUUUGAGCAAGCAUGUUAUCUAUAACAUUCAUGUAAGGUCUCAAAGGGUCACGCUUGGACAUCUGAUUGGAUGUU
rnacentral:misc_RNA from 1 species